UACGGAGGGGGCUAGCGUUGUUCGGAAUUACUGGGCGUAAAGCGCACGUAGGCGGCUUUGUAAGUUAGAGGUGAAAGCCCAGGGCUUAACCCUGGAAUGCCGGUGGAUACUGUCGGGCUCGAGUCCGGAAGAGGCGAGUGGAAUUCCUGGUGUAGCGGUGAAAUGCGCAGAUAUCAGGAGGAACACCGGUGGCGAAGGCGGCACUCUGGGCCGGUACUGACGCUGAGGAGCGAAAGCGUGGGGAGCGAACAGG
rnacentral:rRNA from 1 species